rnacentral:rRNA from 1 species
UCUCAGUUCGGAUUGCAGGCUGCAACUCGCCUGUAUGAAGUCGGAAUUGCUAGUAAUCGCGGAUCAGCAUGCCGCGGUGAAUACGUUCCCGGGCCUUGUACACACCGCCCGUCACACCAUGGGAGCCGGUAAUACCCGAAGUCAGUAGUCCAACCUCGUGAGGACGCUGCCGAAGGUAGGAUUGGCGACUGGGGUGAAGUCGUAACAAGGUAAC